UUUGCAAAGCUAUUUCCAUUUUAAUAAGCCAAAGUGCUGUUAAAUAGAGAUUGAUAUUUCUCCCCAAAUACCCAUAUUUUUAAAGAGGCUUACACCAACAAGGCCAGCCUGGCUUUGGUGUUUUGGUGCCGGAAAGUUGCUUAACUCAUACAUGGGGUGACUCAGCUCCAUCCCCCUUCUCCCUCCCCUCAGGAAGGAGCGAGGUUCGAGUGUUGAGACCAGCUCUGAAUAACAAUUCCUCUGGCUCUCCCACAGCUCUCGCUGGCAGCAACUUUGGCAGGGCAUGAUGCAGACGGUGAAUGCUAUCGACCCGCCGAGCCCAGCACAGCAUCACCCGUGAGCCCACGGCAACAGGGACAAACAAGCCCUGGAACCCACUGAGCAUCCUGUACCUGCACACGGGGCACGGUUCACGUGGUAGCACCCACUUGUUGCACCCCAUUCCCCAGCCAAACUUCAGAGGGAUGCUCAAGCAUCCCGGGAUGCCGCCCUGCUCGCGCCUGCCCCAGCGGCCAGUGGCCACCUCCACUUUCAUGCCCAAUGCCUGCCCUGUGCUCAGGAGGCCCAUGGCCUCUGGGAUGCCCGUGGGUGCCCAUGGAUGCUCAUGGGGUCCCGUGGGUGCUCGUGGGGCAGGGCAAGGGGUAGGAUAGGAAAAGAGAAGGAAUUACCAUGUUGAGUGGGAAGUGGCGGAGGGGCCGGGCACCAACCGUCCCCUCCCUGGUCUUCGCCGGGGCCGAGCGCUGCCCUCAGCCCGGUGUCCCCCGGCCCGGUGCUGCCGCUCGCCGCUCCCGCGGCGGCUCCUCCCGCGCUGCGGGCGGGGACGGGCAGCCCCGGUCCCCCCUCCCCGGCCCCCCCGGCCCGGGCCGGCUCCGGCGGGCGCCGCGCCCCUUCUGGGGGAAAAAAGAAGGGAAAAAAAGAAGGAAAAAGAAAGAAAAGGCGCAGAAAGCGCGAGCGCGGCGGGGCGGAGCGGGGGAGGGGCUGCCCCGGGCCGGCGGGAGCGGCGGGACCCGCCGAGCACAACCGAGGCGGCCGCUCCUCCCGGGAUUCCCC
rnacentral:lncRNA from 1 species